UGAGAUUUUAAUACAAUCAAUACAUCAAUAUGUUAAGUGAUAUAUGUUAUGAAAUUAGGAACAUGUAUUUUUCAAGAUGGAACUCUAUAUUUAAAUUAUAAAAUCCCCUUGAUAUAAUUUAUUGAUUGAUCACCAGAAUCUUGGCCAAGUAUUUUAGUAAUUAAAAUUACUAAAGUAUUAAUUUAAUUUAUUAAAUUAAUGAGUGAUCAAAAGUUUAUAAAUUAUGUACUCAAGGAUCUAAG
rnacentral:lncRNA from 1 species